rnacentral:tRNA from 1 species
GCCGAUGUAGCUCAGCUGGUAGAGCAGCGCAUUCGUAAUGCGCGGGUCGGGGGUUCGAGUCCCUCCAUCGGCACCA